rnacentral:rRNA from 1 species
GACGUAGGGCGCGAGCGUUGUCCGGAUUUAUUGGGCGUAAAGAGCUCGUAGGCGGCUUGUCGCGUCGUCCGUGAAAACUUGGGGCUCAACCCCAAGCUUGCGGUCGAUACGGGCAGGCUCGAGUUCGGUAGGGGAGACUGGAAUUCCUGGUGUAGCGGUGAAAUGCGCAGAUAUCAGGAGGAACACCGGUGACGAAGGCGGGUCUCUGGGCCGAUACUGACGCUGAGGAGCGAAAGCGUGGGGAGCGAACAGG